GACGUGCUGCUGGAAGGACGGGGCGGCUUGGGGGUGGACACGGCUGGGAAGAUUUUCAUCCCCAGGCCAAAAUCUUCGCCGGUAGCCCCCCAGGCGGCGAAAAAAUGCCUCCUAGGGGGCUCAACGGCAGAAGAUGCUCUGAGACAUUGCAGCCAUGUAGGUCAGUACAUUGAAUGUACUGGCAAUUUCACACUGUAGAGCAAUGCUGAGUAAAUGGCUAUCACUACAUGCAUAUUUGGUUGGUGGAGGCUCUAAGUUUAAUAUUUGCAUAAAACUAAUUUUUCCCUACAACAAAGAAAUAGAUUUUAUCUAACUACCAAGUUAAAUUGCCCAUAUAGAGAAGGUAAACCCAACUCAAUCCCAAAAUCACCAAAUCAUUAAUAACCCAACAAUCUCUUUAAAUAGAGUGAUGAGAUCAAUCAAAUUAAUAAGUAUCAGAUACUGAAGAUGUCCAUAACCGGGGACACGGCUAAUCAUGAUUAGUUUGUACACUCUGCAGAGAUUUGCGCACUUUUCCCCACAACUCGAUCUCCUCCGUUGUAUUUCUUACACUGCAUGAUGUUUGAGAAACGGAUGACCGAGACACAGUCUUUCCGAAGAGGUCCCCUUAACCGAUAGAUAGGCCGGUACACCUACAAUCCCCUACAUCUGCUAGCCCAUCAUGAAAAGGAUUCCCACAACUUACUCAACUAUGCCAGAGCACACGGAAGUUUACAGCAUGAAUAAUCUUUCGAUCCCUUUGAGCCUGGGUGGCAUUCCAAUAGGAUGAUCACACGGAUACCCGGGAUCUCCUAGGAACACUGGUAUAUCCCCAGGUGCCCGGGCAAGCCACUGGUAUAUCCCCAGGGUGCACCAACCAUUUUCACCCAGAUGUGUAUUAAAGUAGCCACCUUAAAGUUCCCUUAGUUAAAUGUAACUCUCACAUCUUUCAUGAAUCUCACAUACCAAUCCAUGUCUACGAGCAUAGCAAAGCAAUAUAAGCAUAACGUAUAAUACCCGGGGUUUGAUAAAAGACAAUAAGCUCCUACCUCAACAACUACUUCCCACGCCCACAUGUUACCAAAUCCUACUCAUGCAAUGUUUGAGGGUUGAAACUAAUGUAUAAAAAAACUGGGUAUGAAAAAUAUGAUCAAAGUGUGAACUUGCCUUGUACCGUUGAUGAAGAUUCGUCGCACUCAUAACUCGUGAUAGAUCUACUCGUCACACUCCGAUCAAUCUAUUGUAAGUAAGCAAUUGCAUACAUAAGCACUCAUGCAAAAGAAUCAAAGAAAAGAUCUCAAAAAACUUUGAAAACAAGCAAUUAACUCUUGCAACAGAAAACAAUUUCUAACAGUAUCAAAAUUGGGUGUAUUUGGUCUUAUCAGAAAGUUUAGGUCAAGAGCUUCAAUAGCAAAAAGAAUCAACUAAAUCGGAAUUAUAAAACUCAAGUUAUGAUCAAUAGAAGUUUAAAUUCAAAUCUGUUUGAAACCAAGUUUUAAACUGUCAAAAACAUGUUUAAGUUGGUUAUCUGGGUAGAGGGGAUCAUAACGAAGAAGUGGGCGUUGUUUUCGUUGGAUUUGGAUAAACGAGCAAAAAGUUAUGAGGGUUUAAAAAUCAGGGACUAAUCCGUGAUGAAAACAUUUAUGAAUAGGUCCCUGGCUGAAAAUUAACAGAAAAAGAAAAAUCUACGAACGAACAUUCGCUACAGAAACCUAACGAAUGAAAAUCGUUCGCUACCGAAACUAACGGAUGAACGUCCGCUAAAUAAACUAACUAAAAUAAUAAACCGAUCUAAAAGAAAAACCGAAAAAAACCGGAUAGGGGAUCAGUUCUAUACCGGUCGGUGGUUCGACGGUUUUGGCGAGAAAACCGGUGGCGGCGGUUAGCGGAUAGGCGACGACGAUGGAUCGGGAUUCCGGCGAGAUGGGGCGGCGGCGACGACGACUCCGGCGAGGCGGGACGGCGGCUAGGCGCGGCGCGGAAGACGGCGACGACUAGCGGCGCGGCGGCGGGAGCUGCGCGUGGUUGCGGCGGCAGCGAGAAGUGGUGGCAGCGGUGACGAGAUGCGGCGCGGCGACGUAAAGCGGCAGCGAGCGGCGCAGACGGGGUCCAAGAGGGGCCCCCGGUGCAGCGUAUAAAGGGGGGCUCGGCCUCGGGAGGCGGAGUCCCGGGCGUCGGCGGCUCCUCCCGUGUCCUGGCUGGACUCGGGGAAGGCGACGUCGGCGCGCCUGGGACAUUUACUCAGGACCCAGGCGGAGUCCCGCGCGGCGUCGACUCCUCCCGUGUCGUAAGAAUCCUGCAACAUGAGACAUUGCAGCCAUGUAGGUCAGUACAUUGAAUGUACUGGCAAUUUCACACUGUAGAGCAAUGCUGAGUAAAUGGCUAUCACUACAUGCAUAUUUGGCUGAUGGAGGCUCUUAGUUUAAUAUUUGCAUAAAGCCAAUUUUUUCUACAAUAAAGGAAUAGAUUUUAUUUAACUACCAAGUUAAAUUACCCAUAUUGAGAAGAUAACCCCAACUCAAUCCCAAAAUUACCAAAUCAUUAAUAACCCAACAAUUUCAUUAAAUAGAGUGAGGAGAUCAAUCAAAUAAUUCAAGUACCAGAUACUCAAGAUGUCCAUAACCGGGGACACGACUAAUCAUGAUUAGUUUGUACACUUUGUAAAGGUUUGCGCCCUUUUCCCCACAAGACUCGAUCUCGUCCGUUGUAUUUCUCGCACUGCAUGAUGUUUGAGAAACGGAUGACCGAGACACAGUCUUUCCGAAGAGGUCCACUUAACCGAUAGAUAGGCCGGUACACCUACAAUCCCCUACAUCUCCUAGCCCAUCAUGAAAAAGGAUUUCCACAAUUUACUCAACUAUGCCAGAGCCCAUAAUGGCUUGUGGCUGCACACGGAAGUUUCUAGCAUGAAUAAUCUUAUGAUCCCUUUGAGCCUGGGUGGCAUUCCAAUAGGAUAAUCACACAGAUACCUCGGGAUCUCCUAGGACAACAUUGGUAUAUCCCCAGGUUCCCGGGCAAGCCACUGGUAUAUCCCCAGGGUGCCCCAACCAUUCCACCCAUAUGUGUAUUAAAGUAGCCACCUUAAAGUUUCCUUAGUUAAAUAUAACUCACAUCUUUCAUGAAUCUUGAUACGUCUCCAACGUAUCUAUAAUUUUUGAUUGUUUCAUGCUAUUAUAUUAUCUAUUUUGGAUGUUUAAUGGGAUUUAUUAUACACUUUUAUAUUAUUUUUGGGACUAACCUAUUAACCGAAGGCCUAGUGCAAAUUGCUUUUUUUUUUGCCUAUUUCAGUGUUUCGUAGAAAAGAAAUAUCAAACGGAAUGAAACCUUCGGGAAAGUGAUUUUUGGAACAAACGUGAUCCAGAGGACUUGGAGUGGACGUCAAGAAAGAAUCGAGGAGGCCCCUCGCAGCUCCACCGACCUACUUCCUCCUAUAUAUACCCAUAUACCCCGAAAACAUCCAGGAGCACCACGAAACCCUAUUUCCACCACCACAACCUUCUGUACCAGUGAGAUCCCAUCUUGGGGCUUUUUCCGGCGCUCCGCUGAAGGGGGAAUCGAUCACGGAGGGCUUCUACAUCAAUACCAUAGCCUCUUCGAUGAUGUGUGAGUAGUUUACCACAGACCUUCGGGUCCAUAGUUAUUAGCUAGAUAGCUUCUUGUCUCUCUUUGGAUCUCAAUAGAAAGUUUUCCUCGAUCUUCUUGGAGAUCUAUUCGAUGUAAUUCUUUUUUGCGCUGUGUUUGUUGAGAUCCGAUGAAUUGUGGGUUUAUGAUCAAGAUUAUCUAUGAACAAUAUUUGAAUCUCCUCUGAAUUCUUUUACGUAUGAUUUGUUAUAUUUGCAAGUCUCUUCGAAUUAUCAGUUUGGUUUGGCCUACUAGAUUGAUCUUUUUUGCAAUGGGAGAAGUGCUUAGCUUUGGUUCAAUUGUGACGCCCGGAUAAUUACGCUACAGUAAUUCUCUGCUAAUGGUGCCACGUCACCACGGUUAUUGUUGCUAAUCUCGCGUUAGUUCGAAACCGAUUCAAAUUUAAAAUCAAAUCAAAUAAUAAAAGUUUUUAAAUUUUAAAACUAAAAUGUUCGGAGUCAACCAAAUAUUGCAUAGGUAAUUAUGAUGGAGAAAUCACACCUUUAUAAAAUAUUUAAAUACUAUAAGAUGAAUAAAACAGCAGUAAAAACAAUUAUUUAAAAGCUUUUAUAAUAA
rnacentral:lncRNA from 1 species